ACCUCUGACGACUCAGUACAAGCUGGAAAAUCUAAGCAUUACAAUGAAGCAAACCAUCUUCGUUUUCGUUUUCUUUGUGUUGGCUCUGGUCGUGCUGAUGGCGGAAUCGAAGCAUGUUAGUCCCGAGGAAGUCUUAACAAGACUGCGCAGAGACUGCCCUUGUUUCCCCCGCCACUGCUCCUGUGAUAUCACCAACCCUUAUCCUUUCCCUGAUACCUACCUAGCCUGAAGGCCUGACAUCACCCGGGCCCAGAAUCGAGUCAGCACAUCAGUAGGUUUUCAACACGACUGAAGAAGGAUCAUGAGGAGGUGUGUGUGUGUUUGUGUGUGUGUGGACAAGGCUUUAUAACAAUUGCACACACACACAUACGCACGCACACAUAUAAAACAUACACAUAUACAGCACACACACAUAUAAAACACACACAUAUAUAGCACACACACACUUACACACUCACACUCACACACACACAAACACACGCACAUACACACAUACAUGAGCAUUUGUAUGACAUGAAAAUAUAUAACAAUACAUAUAUCUUCAUUAUGGAGGAAUUUUUACAUGCGAAAAUAAAAAAAUAAUUUUUUA